UACAGAGGUCCCGAGCGUUGUUCGGAUUCACUGGGCGUAAAGGGUGCGCAGGUGGGUUGGCAAGUUUGACGUGAAAGCCCCGGGCUUAACCCGGGAAUGGCGUUGAAAACUGCUGAUCUGGAGGAUCGGAGGGGGGACUGGAAUUCUUGGUGUAGCAGUGAAAUGCGUAGAUAUCAAGAGGAACACCAGUGGCGAAGGCGAGUCCCUGGACGAUACCUGACACUGAGGCACGAAAGCCAAGGGAGCAAACAGG
rnacentral:rRNA from 1 species